CUCCAUACACGGACUGUUUUCCGGCCAUACGGCCUUCAAGGUCUCCCAGGCGACGUUGACCGUUGCUCCGAAGGAAGACGCGAUCUCGCGCGCAGACUAGAGACAUACAGUGACUGAGGAAGUGAAGAAUAGUAUUUCCUAGCGAGGCGAUUGGGGCAUCAGGCAUUACUUCGGCUGUCGAGGUUGUAAAUCGUGCAUCGGUACAAAUAAUAAGACAAUAAAGUAAUAAGUAAAGAAGGUAGAUUGUAUUACUGAAGGAUAUGUAGAUUGCGACGUGUAAGAGGGAUACAUUGUGGAUGUACAUCGAGCGGGCUUCAUCCACGUUAUAUAGGAUGACGGUACGGAACGUCUUAGUGUCCUUAAUGUCUUAGAUUAGUUUGUAUCGAUGUUAUCAAUGGGACAAUCGUGCUUACCAAACGGCGAAUCUGGUGCCCGCUCUGGACGUUCCUCCUGGGAGAUCCCUGCUUCUUUAUUCCCAAUCGAAUUUCGCGCAACGAUAUCAGAAAUGACUAAACUAAAAACGGCCGCGACCCCGGUCGAAAGCGAGGCUUCAUGUAGAAGUGAGAGGGAAGAAAAGGGCGAAAAGGAAACGAGAUGAAAUGCGCGUUACCUAACUACUCGGAUUAUGGAGCCGCAUGAUGACGACGAUGCUGACGUUCAUCUACGAUUUACACCGCGACUUGCGACGCCAAAAUCGCGGCGAACCUCUCGGUCCACGGCAUCGACCAGCAGCGGGAACACGGCGGCGUUUAAGGGAUCGGGAGAUCACGGGGGUAAUAUGGCCAGUCGCCCCCGAAUGCGCAGGAUUCGAUCGAUGCUCCAGACGAGAGAGGGAGACGUACCAUCAUCUCGCGCGUGCCUCUCAUAUGAUGCUGUCAUCCGCGCACCCUCUUCUCCUGGAAAUGAGGGUGGGAUAAAACCCGCGCCCUUUAAGCUUCAUAAGUACAGACUAUCAUCUCGCAAAACUGAUCGAAAGGCAUCUUCGUAGCAUCUUCGCUUCCUUUUAUAAAAUAACAAAGAGAUCGCGCAGUUCUCGAAGCCUGAUAUAAGAAGAUAUCGAAAUUUGAGAGUUGGAGAGGUACAGGAGCUGGAGAGAUACGGGCAUAGUCGUCUUCAAAGGAACGCUCUGAUCACUUUAUUCGUCAUAUCAUUAUCAAUCACACAAUUUUGUUGCAUCAAAUAGAAAUAAAUUAGAUGUGGCGCUCUUAGUUAAAUUUUUGAGAUGAGAGUUACAGUUGGUGCGUAAUAUCCCGGAGAAAAAUCUUCUGUAACACUGUGAUUUAAAAUUUAAGAUUAAUAUAUUGAUUUAAGAUUAAUAUAUUGUUCCAAUCAGUCGUGAUGAGCAUUUCUACUUGGGGAAUUUUAUUUAUUUUACAGUAAAUCGUGAUAAAAAAGACGAAUUACUAUAAAGUGAUAAAUUCCAUGUUUUUAUAAAAAAUUAAUCGGAAUUCCUAUUUUUUAAACUACAAAAAAAAAGUGUACAUUUUGCUUGGAAAUGAUGUAAUCUGGAUAUUUUAAUAAAUAAAGAAAUCAACUUAU